AGAAGAGAUCUGUCUGUAGAAGAAGGAAGGAGGCUCUCUCUCAAGUUACUUCAACGCAAAUCAAAUCGAAUCAGAUUCGCUGCCAUUGCCAGGUAUCUUUUUUUUCUUUUUUAUCAAUCUGGCUGCUUCCCUUUACAACAUUCAAACAAAAGUGGAAUUUUUCUGAUUUAGAAUUUGUCAAUAGUUUUAUCUAUAUUUAUCAAAUAAACCCUCGAAGUUUAAACAUUUUCUCAAAUACUUUUUCAGAUAGUCGUGAACAUUAGUUAUAUGUAAUUUGCAAAUAAACCCUCGUAGUUUAAACAUUCUUGAUAUUUCGCUGCAGGUGAUGAAAUAUGAAAGAUGCAUCAACUUGGAAUAUUCUUUGUUAACUGAAAGUGUAGCAAGAAACAGACAAAACAGUUUCAUUAUUUUGCAAUAUAGAACGAAAUGAUCAAAUAAACUUGUAUAGUUAUCAUCAGAGCAUAGUGUUGCCAUCUCCAAUGAGGUCACAAGCUCCAUCUGCGUGUGUGCUGAUACAAUCUCUUUACAUGGCCCAUAUACCACUCUCCAAGAAAAGGGUCUUCUUUUAUUAUAAAGUUGUGUAAUUAAGAAACUUUUACGGCCCACACCAUUUUUCCGGGAAAAGAGCUUUCUUCAAAAGAAUCGGACCCAACCCAAAAUUGAGAUUUGUGAACCUGAUGAACUCCUUGAAACAUUUUCUCUCAAACAUUGUAUAUUGUUUCCUUGUAUCAUAAUUAAAUCUUCAUCAAGUAAACAAAUUUGAACAAAAUGAUUUGCAAAUUCCACUCGAUACUGUUAGGAUUCCUUAGCUUGAAUUUACCUGGGUUUGAGAUCGAUUUAAGAACAAGAAAGAACAAGCAUAAACUAAAGACACCAAAGAUUGUUUAUCCGGUGUCCACUGCACUUCUCUAAUGUGGAGAAGCCGCUAUACAUCAUCAGGGCUAGGCACAACCAGCAAUCUACUACAGUAACUCAAACUUGAGCUCUCAUUGGUCAAUCCUCUCAAUAAAAUAUAACUGACCAUGAAAUU
rnacentral:lncRNA from 1 species